ACGGGUGAGUAAUACAUCGGAACGUAUCCUGGAGUGGGGGAUAGCCCGGCGAAAGCCGGAUUAAUACCGCAUACGCUCUGAGGAGGAAAGCGGGGGACCUUCGGGCCUCGCGCUCAAGGGGCGGCCGAUGGCGGAUUAGGUAGUUGGUGGGGUAAAGGCCUACCAAGCCGACGAUCCGUAGCUGGUCUGAGAGGACGACCAGCCACACUGGGACUGAGACACGGCCCAGACUCCUACGGGAGGCAGCAGUGGGGAAUUUUGGACAAUGGGGGCAACCCUGAUCCAGCAAUGCCGCGUGUGUGAAGAAGGCCUUCGGGUUGUAAAGCACUUUUGUCCGGAAAGAAAUCAUCGGGGCCAAUACCCCUGGUGGAUGACGGUACCGGAAGAAUAAGCACCGGCUAACUACGUGCCAGCAGCCGCGGUAAUACGUAGGGUGCGAGCGUUAAUCGGAAUUACUGGGCGUAAAGCGUGCGCAGGCGGUGCUGUAAGACCGAUGUGAAAUCCCCGGGCUUAACCUGGGAACUGCAUUGGUGACUGCAGCGCUGGAGCAUGGCAGAGGGGGGUGGAAUUCCACGU
rnacentral:rRNA from 1 species